AGUGGCGCACGGGUGCGUAACGCGUGGGAAUCUGCCCUUUGCUUCGGAAUAACUUCGGGAAACUGAAGCUAAUACCGGAUAAUGUCGCAAGACCAAAGAUUUAUCGGCAAGGGAUGAGCCCGCGUAGGAUUAGGUAGUUGGUGGGGUAAAGGCCUACCAAGCCGACGAUCCUUAGCUGGUCUGAGAGGAUGAUCAGCCACACUGGGACUGAGACACGGCCCAGACUCCUACGGGAGGCAGCAGUGGGGAAUAUUGGACAAUGGGGGCAACCCUGAUCCAGCAAUGCCGCGUGAGUGAUGAAGGCCUUCGGGUCGUAAAGCUCUUUUACCAGGGAUGAUAAUGACAGUACCUGGAGAAUAAGCUCCGGCUAACUCCGUGCCAGCAGCCGCGGUAAUACGGAGGGAGCUAGCGUUGUUCGGAAUUACUGGGCGUAAAGCGCGCGUAGGCGGCUACUCAAGUCAGAGGUGAAAGCCCGGGGCUCAACCCCGGAACUGCCUUUGAAACUAGGUGGCUAGAAUCUUGGAGAGGUCAGUGGAAUUCCGAGUGUAGAGGUGAAAUUCGUAGAUAUUCGGAAGAACACCAGUGGCGAAGGCGACUGACUGGACAAGUAUUGACGCUGAGGUGCGAAAGUGUGGGGAGCAAACAGGAUUAGAUACCCUGGUAGUCCACGCCGUAAACGAUGAUAACUAGCUGUCCGGG
rnacentral:rRNA from 1 species